UACGGAGGGGGCGAGCGUUGUCCGAAGUUACUGGGCGUAAAGCGCGCGUAGGCGGGUUGGUAAGUCCGCUGUGAAAGCCCGGAGCUUAACUCCGGAGGGUCGGUGGAUACUGCCAGUCUUGAAGGUGCUAGGGGGAGAUGGAAUUACCGGUGUAGCGGUGAAAUGCGUAGAUAUCGGUAGGAACACCAACGGCGAAAGCACUCUGCUGGGCCGACACUGACACUGAGAGACGAAAGCUAGGGGAGCGAAUGGG
rnacentral:rRNA from 1 species